UGAAUACGAGACGCUAAGGCGUCGAAGUAGUGUAUGUCAUACUUCCAAGAAAAGCUUGCACUGUCAUAAGUAAAAAAUGCCUGUACCAUAACCGACACAGGUGGGUAGGUAGAGUAUACUAAGGGGCGCGAGAUAACUCUCUCUAAGGAACUCGGCAAAAUAACUCCGUAACUUCGGGAGAAGGAGUACCUUAUUCUAUAAGGUUGCAAUAACAAGAUCCAAGCAACUGUUUAUCAAAAACACAGGUCUCCGCUAAGUCGUAAGACGAUGUAUGGGGGCUGACGCCUGCCCAGUGCCAGAAGGUUAAAGAAGUCGGUUAGCAUUAGCGAAGCUGGUAACUGAAGCCCUGGUGAACGGCGGCCGUAACUAUAACGGUCCUAAGGUAGCGAAAUUCCUUGUCGGGUAAGUUCCGACCCGCACGAAAGGCGUAAUGAUUUGGAUACUGUCUCGGAGAGGGGCUCGGUGAAAUAGACUUGUCUGUGAAGAUGCGGACUACCUGCACCAGGACAGAAAGACCCUAUGAAGCUUUACUGUAACUUGAAAUUGAAAUUGGACUUUAUUCGCGCAGUAUAGGUGGGAGGUGUUGAUUAUAAUCUUGCGGGAUUAUUGGAGCCAUCAGUGAGAUACCACUCUUGUAAUGUUAGAUUUCUAACUUUGAAUCAUUAUCUGGUCAAAGGACAGUUUCAGGCGGGCAGUUUGACUGGGGCGGUCGCCUCCCAAACGGUAACGGAGGCGUACAAAGGUUUCCUCUGAACGGGUAGAAAUCGUAUCUAGAGUGUAAAGGCAUAAGGAAGCUUGACUGUGAGACCUACAAGUCGAACAGGGACGAAAGUCGGUCUUAGUGAUCUGACGGUACUGAGUGGAAAGGCCGUCACUCAACGGAUAAAAGUUACUCUAAGGAUAACAGGCUGAUCUCCCCCAAGAGUUCACAUCGACGGGGAGGUUUGGCACCUGAUGUCGGCUCAUCGCAUCCUGGGGCGGUAGUACGUCCCAAGGGUUGGGCUGUUCGCCCAUGAAAGCGGUACGCGAGCUGGGUUCAGAACGUCGUGAGACAGUUCGGUCCAUAUCCGGUGUAGGCGUUAGAAUAUUGAGAGGAGCCUUCUUUAGUACGAGAGGACCGAGAAGGACAUACCUCUGGUGUACCAGUUAUCGUGCCAACGGUAAACGCUGGGUAGCUAUGUAUGGAGUGGAUAACCGCUGAAAGCAUCUAAGUGGGAAGCCCACCUCAAGAUAAGUA
rnacentral:rRNA from 1 species